UCACAAGUUCAAAGCCACAGCAGAAGUGCUCACAGCGCAGCCCUAUCAGAUUCCAAUGAAUCUGCAAAUUCUGCU
rnacentral:lncRNA from 1 species